AGCUUUGCACGGUGGCAGUAUCGUAGCCAAUGAGAUUUAUCCAAGGCAUGAUUAUUGCUUAAAAAAAAAAAUUCAGAAACAGACUCAAUAGUUAUGGAAAUUUGAUAUAUAGCAAUUUGGCAUUAUA
rnacentral:snRNA from 1 species